GACGAACGCUGGCGGCGUGCCUAAUACAUGCAAGUAGAACGCAGUUGCGAACGGGUGAGUAAAGCGUAGGUGACUUCCUCAUAGCGGGGGAUAACUAUUGGAAACGAUAGCUAAUACCGCAUACUGUGAGAUGGACGUGAUUUGUUUGAGGUAGUUGGUGAGGUUAAGGCUCACCAGGGCGACGAUACAUAGCCUACCUGAGAGGGUGAUCGGCCAAAAUGGGACCGGGACACGGCCCAGAAUCCUAAGGGAGGCAGCAGUAGGGAAUCUUCGGAAAUGGACGGAAGUCUGGACGAGCAAAGCCGCGGGAGUGAAGAAGGUUUUCGGGUCGUAAAGCUAUGUUGUGAGAGGAGCGUUAACUAACCAGAAAGGGACGGCUAACUACGUGCCAGCAGCCGCGGUAAUUC
rnacentral:rRNA from 1 species